rnacentral:rRNA from 9 species
AAAUUGAAGAGUUUGAUCAUGGCUCAGAUUGAACGCUGGCGGCAGGCCUAACACAUGCAAGUCGAACGGUAACAGGAAGCAGCUUGCUGCUUUGCUGACGAGUGGCGGACGGGUGAGUAAUGUCUGGGAAACUGCCUGAUGGAGGGGGAUAACUACUGGAAACGGUGGCUAAUACCGCAUAACGUCGCAAGACCAAAGAGGG